AAUUUUUGGACAAGCUUUUGAGGAAAAGGCAGGCACAUGCAGCUAUCAGCAAAGUGAUAAUGUUUUCAGCAAAAAUAAUUCUGACAAUGACUUGUUUAUCUUGCAUCUGAUCGUUCAGCUACAAGGAAGAAGGAAUGAGGACAAGUUGAAGCAAUCUUGCUGGUAUGUUACUUCAAGAAGAACUUUCAGAUGCUAGCCUGGAUAACAAGGAGUACUAAACAGCAACAUAGGCCUUCUUCAUGUGCUUGGGCGAGGCCACCAUGAGGUUCCUACAAGGAAGAGCACAGACCGCCCCUGGCACAUCGCACAGGAGGGCGACGCCAGGCCGCCGUUCCAAUAAACGAUGGUGCCAUCACACGUGGCAAUCAGGUGGUCCG